rnacentral:lncRNA from 1 species
AGCCACACGGGCAGCCAUGCAGCUUGUCCUCACACACUGCUCUCCCUGCUUUCCCAGCGACGGCAGGUGAGGCCCAGAGGUGGCGAGCUCAGUUCGGACUUGGUCAGCCUGCGUUCUGCUGCAGGCUGGCUGUGACCUGGAUUCGCUGCCUCCCCACUGCCUGCCAGCACGUCUGGCUCCUCUGAGAUCCUGAAGGCCCCUAGGGCCACAGUUAGAGCUGGAGGAGCCGUGCCCUUGCAGCCUGGGGCCUGGCGCACGUGAUGAGAUGCCAGGCCCUCUUCGCUCAGGAUUAUGCACGUCUAUGGACUUCGACCCUUGGCGGGACCCCUUGCUCUGCCCGGAUGCCCCUGGGGCCCUCAGUGGGAGAUGGCCAGCCCCUUCACUGACACAGAAAACAUCUGGGGCCCAGAGAGAGAAGCAACCCCUCAAGGUCAAGGUUGGGGCUAUGGAAUGCAUCCUAGAACCUUGAAGUGAGAAGAAUACCACCAAAUCCACGUCUAAGUCAACCCUCACGGCAACCCCAGGAGGGCGAGGCCAUCAUCCCCAUUGGCAGAUGAGAAAACGGAGGCUCGGAGAGGUGAUGUCACAGAGGUCGGCAGAGGCUGGCUUUGAAGCGUCUCUGCUUUCUGCCCUUCUGCCACCCAGACUGCCUGCUUCCAGAGGGAAGGCCCUUCUCUGUCCCCUUCAUCGAUAUGUACAGACUGACCUGGUGGAUUACAGCCCUCAUUCAGCAGAUGUGACACACACACGUAGAGGCAGGUCCUGGGCUGAAGAUACAAAGAUGACGAGAAUGUGGCCCCUGACCUGAAGGGGUUAUAAUC